rnacentral:rRNA from 1 species
GAUGAACGCUGGCGGUAUGCUUAACACAUGCAAGUCGAACGGAGUUCCUUCGGGGACUUAGUGGCGGACGGGUGAGUAACACGUGAGAACCUACCCUUAGGAUGGGGACAACAGUUGGAAACGACUGCUAAUACCCGAUGUGCCGGAAGGUGAAAGAUUUAUCGCCUAGGGAAGGGCGUGCGUGCUAUUAGCUAGUUGGUGAGGUAACGGCUCACCAAGGCUACGAUAGCUAGGGGGCGUGAGAGCGUGGCCCCCCACACGGGUACUGAGACACGGACCCGACUCCUACGGGAGGCAGCAGUAAGGAAUAUUGGACAAUGGUCGAAAGACUGAUCCAGCCAUCCCGCGUGCAGGAUGACUGCCCUAUGGGUUGUAAACUGCUUUUAUAUGGGAAGAAUAGCAUAGAUUCAUCUGUGUAUGACGGUACCAUAUGAAUAAGCACCGGCUAACUCCGUG